AUUCAACGCUGGCGGCGUGCCUAACACAUGCAAGUCGAACGCGAAAGCCCUUUCGGGGGUCAGUAGAGUGGCGUCCGGGUGAGUAACACGUAGGUAAUCUACCUCUGGGUGGGGAAUAACUCGUCGAAAGGCGAGCUAAUACCGCAUAAUGCAGCGGCACCGAAUGGUGAUUAGUUGUUAAAGCGGGGGACCGAAAGGCCUCGCGCCUAGAGAGGAGCCUGCGGCAGAUUAGCUUGNGGUGAGGUAAUGGCUCACCAAGGCUUCGAUCUGUAGCUGGUCUGAGAGGACGGCCAGCCACACUGGCACUGACACACGGGCCAGACUCCUACGGGAGGCAGCAGUGGGGAAUUUUGGGCAAUGGGCGAAAGCCUGACCCAGCAACGCCGCGUGAGUGAUGAAGGCCUGG
rnacentral:rRNA from 1 species